rnacentral:rRNA from 1 species
UACGUAGGGGCAAGCGUUGUCCGGAAUUAUUGGGCGUAAAGAGCGCGCAGGCGGUCAGAUAAGUCGAAUGUGAAAGCCCCGGCUCAACUGGGGAGGGUCACGCGAUACUGCUCGACUCGAAGGCAGGAGAGGGAAGUGGAAUUCCCGGUGUAGUGGUGAAAUGCGUAGAUAUCAAGAGGAACACCUGAGGCGAAGGCGGGUUGCUAGGCUGACACUGACGUGAGGCGCGAAAGCUAGGGUAGCAAACGGG